ensembl:snRNA U6 U6 spliceosomal RNA
GUGCUCGCUUUGGCAGCACAUAUAUUAAAACUGAAGCAAUACAGAGAAGACUAGCAUGGUCCCUGCACAAGGAUGACGUGCAAAUUCAUGAAGCAUUCCGUAUUUUU